rnacentral:rRNA from 1 species
CCUACGGGUGGCUGCAGUAGGGAAUCUUCCACAAUGGACGAAAGUCUGAUGGAGCAACGCCGCGUGUGUGAUGAAGGGUUUCGGCUCGUAAAACACUGUUGUAAGAGAAGAAUGACAGUGAGAGUAACUGUUCAGUGUGUGACGGUAUCUUACCAGAAAGGAACGGAUAAAUACGUGCCAGCAGCCGCGGUCAUACGUAUGUUCCAAGCGUUAUCCGGAUUUAUUGGGCGUAAAGCGAUCGCAGACGGUGGGUGAAGUACGAAUGUAAAGCCCACAGCUUAACGGUGGAGGUGCUGUGGAAACUGGAUAACUUGAGUGCAGUAGAGGAGAGAGGAACUCCAUGUGUAGCGGUGAAAUGCGUAGAUAUAUGGAAGAACACCAGUGGCGAAGGCGGCUCUCUGGACUGUAACUGACGUUGAGGCUCGAAAGUGUGGGUAGCAAACAGGAUUAGAUACCCUAGUAGUC